rnacentral:rRNA from 1 species
GGGGAAUUUUCCGCAAUGGGCGAAAGCCUGACGGAGCAAUACCGCGUGAGGGAGGAAGGCUCUUGGGUUGUAAACCUCUUUUCUCAGGGAAGAACAAAAUGACGGUACCUGAGGAAUAAGCAUCGGCUAACUCCGUGCCAGCAGCCGCGGUAAUACGGAGGAUGCAAGCGUUAUCCGGAAUGAUUGGGCGUAAAGCGUUCGUAGGUGGUCCUUCAAGUCUGCUGUCAAAGCGCAGGGCUUAACUCUGUAAAGGCGGUGGAAACUGAAGAGCUAGAGUGCGGUAGGGGUAGAGGGGAUUCCCGGUGUAGCGGUGAAAUGCGUAGAGAUCGGGAAGAACACCAGCAGCGAAAGCGCUCUACUGGGCCUGCACUGACACUGAGGGACGAAAGCUAGGGGAGCGAAUGGGAUUAGAUACCCCAGUAGUCCUAGCCGUAAACGAUGGAUACUAGGUGUUGCCUGUAUCGACCCGGGCAGCGCCGUAGCUAACGCGUUAAGUAUCCCGCCUGGGGAGUACGCGCGCAAGCGUGAAACUCAAAGGAAUUGACGGGGGCCCGCACAAGCGGUGGAGUAUGUGGUUUAAUUCGAUGCAACGCGAAGAACCUUACCAGGGCUUGACAUGUCGCGAACCUCAGGGAAACUUGAGGGUGCCUUCGGGAGCGCGAACACAGGUGGUGCAUGGCUGUCGUCAGCUCGUGUCGUGAGAUGUUGGGUUAAGUCCCGCAACGAGCGCAACCCUCGUCCUAAGUUGCCAGCAUUAAGUUGGGCACUCUGAGGAGACUGCCGGUGACAAACCGGAGGAAGGUGGGGAUGACGUCAAGUCAGCAUGCCCCUUACGUCCUGGGCUACACACGUACUACAAUGCUACGGACAAAGGGCAGCCAGACAGCAAUGUCGAGCAAAUCCCAUAAACCGUGGCACAGUUCAGAUUGCAGGCUGCAACUCGCCUGCAUGAAGGUGGAAUCGCUAGUAAUCGCAGGUCAGCAUACUGCGGUGAAUCCGUUCCCGGGCCUUGUACACACCGCCCGUCACACCAUGGAAGCUGGCUUAGCCCGAAGUCGUUACCCUAACCCGCAAGGGAGGGGGACGCCGAAGGCAGGGCUGGUGACUGGGGUGAAGUCGUAACAAGGUAGCCGUACCGGAAGGUGUGGCUGGAUCACCUCCUU